rnacentral:rRNA from 1 species
AUUGAACGCUGGCGGCAUGCUUUACACAUGCAAGUCGAACGGUAACAGGGUGCUUGCACCGCUGACGAGUGGCGAACGGGUGAGUAAUGCGUCGGAACGUGCCGAGUAGUGGGGGAUAACGCAUCGAAAGGUGUGCUAAUACCGCAUACGUACUGAGGUAGAAAGUGGGGGACCUUCGGGCCUCACGCUAUUCGAGCGGCCGACGUCUGAUUAGCUAGUUGGUGAGGUAAAGGCUCACCAAGGCGACGAUCAGUAGCGGGUCUGAGAGGAUGAUCCGCCACACUGGGACUGAGACACGGCCCAGACUCCUACGGGAGGCAGCAGUGGGGAAUUUUGGACAAUGGGCGCAAGCCUGAUCCUGCCAUGCCGCGAGUCUGAAGAAGGCCUUCGGGUUGUAAAGGACUUUUGUCCGGGAGCAAAUACCCAGUGCUAAUAACGCUGGGGGCUGAGAGUACCGGAAGAAUAAGCACCGGCUAACUACGUGCCAGCCGCCGCAGUAAAAC